CUGAUUUAUUUAGCUCACAAAAUUGGUCUCCCCUUUAUUAAAACUAAAUAGUCCUGCCAUUCUAUUUGCAUUUUUUUUUUUGCAGUUUUGAUCCUUACCCUAUUUGGUCUUCAAAAAUAUUGAUGUCUCCAAUUUUUUAAUGAGUUGGCAUGAAAGUGAAAACAUAGCAAAACACGUGAGGAACAAUCAAUGCCCACAUCAUCAAAUAAAUAAAUGUUUAAAUUUACAAUUUAACUAAAUUGGUUGAUGUAAAACAAAUAAAACUUAAAUUACAAUAUUAUUUCUCAUUAUCAUCGUCAUCAUAUUCUUCCCAUCAUCAUCAUCGUCAUCAUAUUCUUCCCAUCAUCAUCAUCAUGAACACCAUCUUCUUCAUUUCAUUAUACCUUCAACCUCAUAAAUCUCAAUAUCAUCUUCGCCAUCAUCUUUAUCAAACUUAUCAUUUGUUUUAUUUAAAUUAAAUCUAACUAAUAACAAUAAUAAGAAAUUUGGAUUUAGCCAAAUUUUAAUUUAUUACAAACAACAUCAUCAUAUCCUUCAAUCCAGGUUUACAAAAACAUAACUGAACAAAAUUAAAAGCCUUACUUCACAAAAAAAAAAAAAAUCCAAAUCUCAAAUACAAAGAAAGUGGGAGAAAAAACAACUUCAACCAUUCACUAUAUUCCUUCUCAUUACCCCACCUUGCUCUUCUCGUCUCAAGCAGGUUUUGAGUUCGGAUGCAGUUUUGAUUUAAGUUGAUAUGGAGAUGGACUUUUCUGAUUUGGUUUGUUGGUGCCCAUUUUUUCACAAAUCAAAAAACUUAAUUUUAGAUUUUGUUUCGGAUUGAUGCCAACCAUAAAUCUCUUUGAUGAUACCCAUUUUGGCACAAAUAAAAAACACUCCUUACUUUUCAUCCCUUUAUAAAAUCCACCCAAAAUAAAAAACCAAAUCACACGAGAAGAGAUACAAAAGUAGUGAUUUUCGAGAGUUUCACAAUCAAAUAAAAAACCCUCAAUUACCAAGAAAAAAAAAAAGAGAAGAUAAGGAGGAACUAGAUUGUAUGGUGUUCGAUGGUGAUGAAAGGAUAACAAGAGAAGAAAAUGAGAUUUUUCUCAAGUGGAACAAAAACAUAAAUAGAUAUAUGGGGUACUGUAUGCGUUGAUUACGAGAAGAGAAAUGAGUAAGUGAAGAACAAUGAAGGAUGAACAUAAUUUUACGUGUUCUAAUUUUGUAACAUUUUUAGUUAUAGUUUUUUAGCAUUUAGUUGUUUUUUAUAUUUAUUAUUUAUUGCAAUUUUUUAUUUUAUUACUAUUUUAAUUGUUGUUUUUAAAAAAUUGAAUUUAUUGACAUGUUAAUGUGUUUUUUAUUAAUUAUUUGAUUUGUCAAGUAAGCAUUUUUUUGGCCAACUCAUUAAAAAAAUUGGAC
rnacentral:lncRNA from 1 species